rnacentral:rRNA from 1 species
AUGGUUGGAUAUAGAUCCAUUUGGAAAGUCAAGAUACCUAACAAAAUAAAAGUUUUUCUUUGGUUGAUGCUUUAAAAUAGCAUUUUUAUGAAAGAUAACCUGCUGAGAAGAGCAUGGACAGGAAAUAAAGAGUGCCACUUCUCUAUGGCUAAAGAGAGCAUUGAUCAUCUAUUCUCUUAGUGUGCUCUGGCUAAACAGAUUUGGCAAGUAGUAGCUUGUGCUUUUGGCCUCACAACAAUCCCAGGUAGCCUCUCUGGCAUGAUGGGGGAUUGGAACAAAUCAUUUCCUAGUGGUCAAUGA